rnacentral:rRNA from 1 species
AGAGCGAACGCUGGCGGCAGGCUUAACACAUGCAAGUCGAGCGGGCGUAGCAAUACGUCAGCGGCAGACGGGUGGGUAACGCGUGGGAACGUACCUUUUGGUUCGGAACAACCCAGGGAAACUUGGGCUAAUACCGGAUAAGCCCUUACGGGGAAAGAUUUAUCGCCGAAAGAUCGGCCCGCGUCUGAUUAGCUAGUUGGUGGGGUAAUGGCCCACCAAGGCGACGAUCAGUAGCUGGUCUGAGAGGAUGAUCAGCCACAUUGGGACUGAGACACGGCCCAAACUCCUACGGGAGGCAGCAGUGGGGAAUAUUGGACAAUGGGCGCAAGCCUGAUCCAGCCAUGCCGCGUGAGUGAUGAAGGCCCUAGGGUUGUAAAGCUCUUUGUGCGGGAAGAUAAUGACGGUACCGCAAGAAUAAGCCCCGGCUAACUUCGCGUCAGCAGCCGC